rnacentral:rRNA from 1 species
AGUGAACGCUGGCGGUAGGCCUAACACAUGCAAGUCGAACGGCAGCACAGUAAGAGCUUGCUCUUACGGGUGGCGAGUGGCGGACGGGUGAGGAAUACAUCGGAAUCUACUUUUUCGUGGGGGAUAACGUAGGGAAACUUACGCUAAUACCGCAUACGACCUACAGGUGAAAGCAGGGGAUCUUCGGACCUUGCGCGAUUGAAUGAGCCGAUGUCGGAUUAGCUAGUUGGCGGGGUAAAGGCCCACCAAGGCGACGAUCCGUAGCUGGUCUGAGAGGAUGAUCAGCCACACUGGAACUGAGACACGGUCCAGACUCCUACGGGAGGCAACAGUGGGGAAUAUUGGACAAUGGGCGCAAGCCUGAUCCAGCCAUACCGCGUGGGUGAAGAAGGCCUUCGGGUUGUAAAGCCCUUUUGUUGGGAAAGAAAAGCAGCAGGUUAAUACCCCGCUGUUCUGACGGUACCCAAAGAAUAAGCACCGGCUAACUUCGUG